rnacentral:sRNA from 1 species
UUUUAGCCCCGAUGGAAACGGCAUCCUUUUAUGGCUCCUGAUAGUUAUCAGGAGCCAUAAAAGAUAUAGUGCACAGCGGAAAAUUGC